rnacentral:tRNA from 1 species
UGCGCUUUGGUGGAAUGGAUUUACCAUGUCAGUCUCAUAAGCUGAAGAUUGCUGGUUCGAUUCCAGCAAGCGCAACCA